rnacentral:rRNA from 1 species
UGCAUAUCCCAAAAGCGGAGGAAAAGAAACUAACAAGGAUUCCCCUAGUAACUGCGAGUGAAGCGGGAAAAGCUCAAAUUUAAAAUCUGGUGGUCUUUGGCCAUCCGAGUUGUAAUCUAGAGAAGUGUUAUCCGCGCUGGACCGUGUACAAGUCCCCUGGAAUGGGGCGUCAUAGAGGGUGAGAAUCCCGUCUUUGACACGGACUACCAGGGCUUUGUGAUGCACUCUCAAAGAGUCGAGUUGUUUGGGAAUGCAGCUCAAAAUGGGUGGUAAAUUCCAUCUAAAGCUAAAUAUUGGCGAGAGACCGAUAGCGAACAAGUACCGUGAGGGAAAGAUGAAAAGAACUUUGGAAAGAGAGUUAAACAGUACGUGAAAUUGUUGAAAGGGAAACGCUUGAAGUCAGUCGCGUCUGCCAGGGAUCAACCUUACUUUUGUGAGGCGUACUUCCUGGUUGAUGGGUCAGCAUCAGUUUUGGUCGCUGGAUAAAGGUCAGAGAAAUGUGGCACCUUCGGGUGUGUUAUAGUCUUUGAUCAGAUACAGUGGCUGGGACUGAGGAACUCAGCGCCGCAAGGCUGUCUUAGGAUGCUGGCAAAAUGGCUUUAAUCGACCCGUCUUGAAACACGGACAAAAGGGAGUCA